GACGAACGCUGGCGGCGUGCUUAACACAUGCAAGUCGAACGCAGAGGCCCUGCUUUUGUGGGGUGCUCGAGUGGCGAACGGGUGAGUAACACGUGAGUAACCUGCCCUUGACUUUGGGAUAACUUCAGGAAACUGGGGCUAAUACCGGAUAGGAGCUCCUGCUGCAUGGUGGGGGUUGGAAAGUUUCGGCGGUUGGGGCUGGACUCGCGGCUUAUCAGCUUGUUGGUGGGGUAGUGGCUUACCAAGGCUUUGACGGGUAGCCGGCCUGAGAGGGUGACCGGCCACAUUGGGACUGAGAUACGGCCCAGACUCCUACGGGAGGCAGCAGUGGGGAAUAUUGCACAAUGGGCGGAAGCCUGAUGCAGCAACGCCGCGUGCGGGAUGACGGCCUUCGGGUUGUAAACCGCUUUCGCCUGUGACGAAGCGUGAGUGACGGUAAUGGGUAAAGAAGCACCGGCUAACUACGUG
rnacentral:rRNA from 1 species